AGCGAACGCUGGCGGCAGGCCUAACACAUGCAAGUCGAACGAACCUUUCGGGGUUAGUGGCGGACGGGUGAGUAACACGUGGGAACGUGCCUUUAGGUUCGGAAUAACUCAGGGAAACUUGUGCUAAUACCGAAUGUGCCCUUCGGGGGAAAGAUUUAUCGCCUUUAGAGCGGCCCGCGUCUGAUUAGCUAGUUGGUUGAGGUAAUGGCUUACCAAGGCGACGAUCAGUAGCUGGUCUGAGAGGGUGAUCAGCCAGAUUGGAACUGAGACACGGCCCAGACUCCGACGGUGAGCAGCAGUGGGGAAUCUUCCGCAAUGGGCGAGAGCCGGACGGAGCAACGCCGCGGAAAUGAUGAAGGUCUUCGGAUCGUAAAACUCUGUUAUUAGGGAAGAACAAAUGUGUAAGUAACUAUGCACGUCUUGACGGUACCUAAUCAGAAAGCCACGGCUAACUACGUG
rnacentral:rRNA from 1 species